GCACUGAUGAUGAGUCUCAAACAGGACGAAACAGCUGUGCAGUGC
rnacentral:hammerhead_ribozyme from 1 species